rnacentral:rRNA from 1 species
AUUGAACGCUGGCGGCAGGCCUAACACAUGCAAGUCGAGCGGAUGAAGGGAGCUUGCUCCUGGAUUCAGCGGCGGACGGGUGAGUAAUGCCUAGGAAUCUGCCUGGUAGUGGGGUAUAACGUCCGGAAACGGGCGCUAAUACCGCAUACGUCCUGAGGGAGAAAGUGGGGGAUCUUCGGACCUCACGCUAUCAGAUGAGCCUAGGUCGGAUUAGCUAGUUGGUGGGGUAAAGGCCUACCAAGGCGACGAUCCGUAACUGGUCUGAGAGGAUGAUCAGUCACACUGGAACUGAGACACGGUCCAGACUCCUACGGGAGGCAGCAGUGGGGAAUAUUGGACAAUGGGCGAAAGCCUGAUCCAGCCAUGCCGCGUGUGUGAAGAAGGUCUUCGGAUUGUAAAGCACUUUAAGUUGGGAGGAAGGGCAGUAAGUUAAUACCUUGCUGUUUUGACGUUACCAGCAGAAUAAGCACCGGCUAACUACGUG